rnacentral:rRNA from 1 species
AGAGUUUGAUCCUGGCUCAGAAUGAACGCUGGCGGCGUGCUUAACACAUGCAAGUCGUACGAGAACGCUUCAGCUUGCUGAAGCAAGUAAAGUGGCGCACGGGUGAGUAAUGCGUGGGUAAUCUACCUUCGAAUCGGGGAUAACUUCGCGAAAGCGGGGCUAAUACCGGAUAACAUCUAUUGGAUUCAGGUCUGUAAGAUCAAAGGUGGCCUCUACAUGUAAGCUACCGUUCGGGGAUGAGCCCGCGUACCAUUAGCUUGUUGGUGGGGUAACGGCCUACCAAGGCUACGAUGGUUAGCUGGUCCGAGAGGAUGAUCAGCCACACUGGAACUGACACACGGUCCAGACUCCUACGGGAGGCAGCAGUGAGGAAUUUUGCGCAAUGGGGGAAACCCUGACGCAGCAACGCCGCGUGAGUGAUGAAGGCCUUCGGGUCGUAAAGCUCUGUCAAGUGGGAAGAACCUGGUCUAUGCCAAUACCAUAGAUCACUGACGGUACCACUGAAGGAAGCACCGGCUAACUCCGUGCCAGCAGCCGCGGUAAUACGGGGGGUGCAAGCGUUAUUCGGAAUCACUGGGCGUAAAGGGCGCGCAGGCGGUUUGGUUAGUCAGAUGUGAAAGCCCGGGGCUCAACCCCGGAAGUGCAUUUGAUACUACCUAACUUGAGUAUGGGAGAGGGAAGUGGAAUUCCUGGUGUAGAGGUGAAAUUCGUAGAUAUCAGGAGGAACACCGGUGGCGAAGGCGACUUCCUGGACCAAUACUGACGCUGAGGCGCGAAGGCGUGGGGAGCAAACAGGAUUAGAUACCCUGGUAGUCCACGCAGUAAACGGUGAACACUAGGUGUAGCGUGUUGACCCCUGCUGUGCCGGAGCUAACGCAUUAAGUGUUCCGCCUGGGAAGUACGGCCGCAAGGUUAAAACUCAAAGGAGUUGACGGGGGCCCGCACAAGCGGUGGAGCAUGUGGUUUAAUUCGACGCAACGCGAAGAACCUUACCUGGGUUUGACAUCCCGAGAAGUCUCUUGAAAUUGAGAUGUGCCCUUCGGGGAAUUCGGUGACAGGUGCUGCAUGGCUGUCGUCAGCUCGUGUCGUGAGAUGUUGGGUUAAGUCCCGCAACGAGCGCAACCCCUAUCUUUAGUUACCAGCAUUUAGUUGGGGACUCUAGAGAUACUGCCCCGGUCAACGGGGAGGAAGGUGGGGAUGACGUCAAGUCCUCAUGGCCCUUAUGCCCAGGGCUACACACGUGCUACAAUGGGCUGUACAAAGGGUUGCGACCCCGCGAGGGUUAGCUAAUCCCAAAAAACAGUCCUUAGUUCGGAUUGGAGUCUGCAACUCGACUCCAUGAAGCUGGAAUCGCUAGUAAUCGUGGAUCAGCAUGCCACGGUGAAUACGUUCCCGGCCUUGUACACACCGCCCGUCACACCAUGAGAGUUGGUUGUACCAGAAGUUGUUGGGCCAACCCGUAAGGGAGGCAGGCACCGAAGGUAUGGCUGAUGAUUGGGGUGAAGUCGUAACAAGGUA